AUGGAAUUGAAGAGAAACAUAAAAUGCCCUAACAAAUUUAUUAUGGAUUCCUAAAAUAAUUUCUUUUACUUGGAUACCUGCGCACCACUCAGCCAUCAUCCACGUUGACCAAUCUGACCUGAAAAGUUAAAAUGGAAGAAGUGCGUAAUUUAUAUUCAGUACGAUACGUGCGUCCAAAACAAUUUGAUAACUUUUAAAAUAUGAAUCUAUAACAUUCCAUACCAUCAUUUCAUCAAAAGCAAUCAGUGAUCAAUCGAAAGCUCUAACACAUUUGAGAAGACUCGAAGGCGAUCUCACAUUUCAUUUCAUAGGGACCCGCAAGUCAAUUAGCAUUUCAUGAAAUAAAUCACGUAUAAAAAUCAUAAUAUUGCAACGACAUAUCACUUGCACAUAGUAUCCUACCUCGUUAAUCCACGAAUUUUGAAAGAAGAUCUAAGAAUCACGCUCCAAAUGUUUAUUUUCUGUCCACGCAAUUGUUGCCGUGUAUGUGCAUGCAAUAGAUGUGAUUAAAGAGGCAAAGAGAAUUAUAAUUUUGGUAGAAUAUGAAUAUAAUAGGGGGUUUCUGCUGAACUUAAAGAAUGAAACCAAAACUAAGGAUUGGG
rnacentral:lncRNA from 1 species